UCGGUCUAUGAAGCCUCCAUCAUCAAGCUAGCAGCCCAUGAAAUCGAACGCAGAUCUUCCUGAUGUGAGAUUUACAUAAAUAUGUCAAAGUCUCAACCUCAUGCUGCCCUCCCC